rnacentral:rRNA from 1 species
GAUGAACGCUGGCGGCGUGCCUAAUACAUGCAAGUCGAGCGAACGGACGAGAAGCUUGCUUCUCUGAUGUUAGCGGCGGACGGGUGAGUAACACGUGGAUAACCUACCUAUAAGACUGGGAUAACUUCGGGAAACCGGAGCUAAUACCGGAUAAUAUUUUGAACCGCAUGGUUCAAAAGUGAAAGACGGUCUUGCUGUCACUUAUAGAUGGAUCCGCGCUGCAUUAGCUAGUUGGUAAGGUAACGGCUUACCAAGGCAACGAUGCAUAGCCGACCUGAGAGGGUGAUCAGCCACACUGGAACUGAGACACGGUCCAGACUCCUACGGGAGGCAGCAGUAGGGAAUCUUCCGCAAUGGGCGAAAGCCUGACGCAGCCACGCCGCGUGAGUGAUGAAGGUCUUCGGAUCGUAAAACUCUGUUAUUAGGGAAGAACAUAUGUGUAAGUAACUGUGCACAUCUUGACGGUACCUAAUCAGAAAGCCCCGGCUAACUACGUG